GGGGCUGUGAGUCAGAGGAAGAGCCUCUGCUUUGCAUGCAUAAGGUCAUAGGUUCAAUUCCUGGCAGCAUCU
rnacentral:tRNA from 1 species